rnacentral:rRNA from 1 species
GAUGAACGCUGGCGGCGUGCCUAAUACAUGCAAGUCGAGCGAACGGACGAGAAGCUUGCUUUUCUGAUGUUAGCGGCGGACGGGUGAGUAACACGUGGAUAACCUACCUAUAAGACUGGGAUAACUUCGGGAAACCGGAGCUAAUACCGGAUAAUAUUUUGAACCGCAUGGUUCAAAAGUGAAAGACGGUCUUGCUGUCACUUAUAGAUGGAUCCGCGCUGCAUUAGCUAGUUGGUAAGGUAACGGCUUACCAAGGCAACGAUGCAUAGCCGACCUGAGAGGGUGAUCGGCCACACUGGAACUGAGACACGGUCCAGACUCCUACGGGAGGCAGCAGUAGGGAAUCUUCCGCAAUGGGCGAAAGCCUGACGGAGCAACGCCGCGUGAGAGAUGAAGGUCUUCGGAUCGUAAAACUCUGUUAUUAGGGAAGAACAUAUGUGUAAGUAACUGUGCACAUCUUGACGGUACCUAAUCAGAAAGCCACGGCUAACUACGUG